rnacentral:lncRNA from 1 species
GCGAAAUUAAGGAAAAAGAAAACAGUAGUUAAAGGAUGGUUGAAGAUGAAUGAUUUAAUUGAGGGAUGCCAUGCCAUCAUCAAUCUUAGGAUUGCAGAAGCAGAAGAAUGUCGUGUCUGACAGUGUUGGGUUGGGUAAAUAGACUAAGGUUUAUGAAGCACUCCUCCAGCAAUCAGGGCAGCCUUCAUGACAACAGAGAUGACAUCAAUGACUUGAUCCACUUGGCAUUUGUUACCCUUGAAACUCCUUUCUCCUCCUUUCUGGAAAUCCUUUAUGCACUUUAUGAAGCUUUGGCUGCACUUUUGACUCAGAUAGUCAUCUGCACUCCGUUUUACAUUUCCAUUUUAUUUAUUCUUACCAUCAAACAACAGUUGUUCAUAAUUAAAAUCAUAUCACCCUAAACUUAUCUAUUUUAAACAUACAAACCUCACUUUCUACAUCUUUACUUGUAUAAUUCUAUGAAAAAAAUUAACCAUAUAUCCUUUACCUUAGCUUCAUGGUUAUUGAGCACAUAUAGUAUAUAUUUUAUUGGUCAGGAAUUUGUCCUUAUUUGAGCAUGUCAAAACAAGUUUAAUCUUAAAGAUUUGACCUCUAAGUGAGCAAAUCCAAGAGCAUAUUUUUGGUACGGUGGGAGCUAUACGGGAGGUUAAGGCAAAGCCAAGAUACCUAAUAGGUUCAACCUCUAUUCUAUUGGUAUGGAAAGAGGAAAAGGUAGCGUAAAAAUAAAUAUUACAUAUAGCUAUGGUUGGAUAAAGAUAAAAGAAAAUAAUAAAUAAUGAUUGAGAUUGAAGGCAAUGGGUGUUAGUGCAAUAGGUAUACUAAGAAAGAAAGAGAAGGGGAAGGGGGGGAGCAUACUGUUCAUAGCUUGAACGCAGUCAUCGUGCUUCAUACAGCAAGCAUCAAGUCCAUCGCAAGGUUUCUCUCCAGGGCAUCCACUGUACAAUAGGCCGCAAUACUUGCCAUACCUCAAAAAUGGAGGCACUGUGUUGUUGUUUCAUUUAUAAUUAUCUCAGCCCACCCACCUAUUUCAUUUCAUUUCAAAAUAACCAAAACCAAGAGCAUAUGUAUGGAUGGAUGGAUGGAUGGAUGGAUACC